UCAAUGCACUAUGAUGAUUACAUAGUUCAACUGAAGUACUCUUACUAAGUACUCUGUCGAGUUGAUUUUCUUUCGCUCCUAUCUGAUACAUUCA
rnacentral:snoRNA from 1 species